rnacentral:rRNA from 1 species
GACGAACGCUGGCGGCGUGCUUAACACAUGCAAGUGGAGCGACGAACUAGCUUCGGCUAGGGCAAAGCCGCGAACGGGUGAGUAACACGUGGGUAACCUGCCCCGAUGACUGGGACAACCCGAGGAAACUCGGGCUAAUACCAGAUGUGCUCCUUCCCCUUAAGGGGAUUGAGUAAAGGUAGCUUCGGCUAUCCGCAUUGGGAGGGGCUUGCGCACCAUUAGCUUGUUGGUGGGGUAACGGCCUACCAAGGCGACGAUGGUUAGCUGGUCUGAGAGGACGAUCAGCCACACUGGAACUGAGACACGGUCCAGACUCCUACGGGAGGCAGCAGUGGGGAAUCUUGCACAAUGGGCGAAAGCCUGAUGCAGCAACGCCGCGUGAGGGAAGACGGCCUUCGGGUUGUAAACCUCUUUCAGUUGGGAAGAAGGUCGGGCGUUAAUAGCGUGUCCGACUGACGGUACCUCCACAAGAAGCCCCGGCUAACUACGUGCCAGCCGCCGCCGUAA